AGCAGCCGCGGUAAUUCCAGCUCCAAUAGCGUAUAUUAAAGUUGUUGCAGUUAAAAAGCUCGUAGUCGAAUUUCGGGGUUAGUAGGUUGGUCAUGCCUCUGGUAUGUACUGGUCUCACUGAUUCCUCCUUCCUGAUGAACCUUAAUGCCAUUAAUUUGGUGUUUUGGGGAAUUUGGACUGUUACUUUGAAAAAAUUAGAGUGUUUAAAGCAAGCUAACGCUUGAAUACAUUAGCAUGGAAUAAUGAAAUAGGACGUUCGAUCCUAUUUUGUUGGUUUCUAGGAUUGACGUAAUGAUUAAUAGGGAUAGUUGGGGGCAUUAGUAUUCAAUUGUCAGAGGUGAAAUUCUUGGAUUUAUUGAAGACUAACUACUGCGAAAGCAUUUGCCAAGGAUGUUUUCAUUAAUCAAGAACGAAAGUUAGGGGAUCGAAGACGAUCAGAUACCGUCGUAGUCUUAACCAUAAACUAUGCCGACUAGGGAUCGGAUGAUGUUAAUUUUUUAAUGACUCAUUCGGCGCCUUACG
rnacentral:rRNA from 1 species